UACGAAGGGUGCAAGCGUUACUCGGAAUUACUGGGUGUAAAGCGUGCGUAGGUGGUUCGUUAAGUCUGCCGUGAAAGCCCCGGGCUCAACCUGGGAAUGGCGGUGGAUACUGGCGGACUAGAGUGCGGUAGAGGGUGGUGGAAUUCCCGGUGUAGCAGUGAAAUGCGUAGAGAUCGGGAGGAACAUCUGUGGCGAAGGCGGCCACCUGGACCAGCACUGACACUGAGGCACGAAAGCGUGGGGAGCAAACAGG
rnacentral:rRNA from 1 species